UACGAAGGGUGCAAGCGUUACUCGGAAUUACUGGGCGUAAAGCGUGCGUAGGUGGUUUUUUAAGUCCGUUGUGAAAGCCCUGGGCUCAACCUGGGAAUGGCAGUGGAUACUGGAAAGCUAGAGUGCGGUAGAGGGUAGUGGAAUUCCCGGUGUAGCAGUGAAAUGCGUAGAGAUCGGGAGGAACACCAGUGGCGAAGGCGGCUACCUGGACCAGCACUGACACUGAGGCACGAAAGCAUGGGGAGCAAACAGG
rnacentral:rRNA from 1 species